rnacentral:rRNA from 1 species
UUUACCUACGGGGGGCAGCAGCCGCGGUAAUACGUAGGAUGCGAGCGUUAUCCGGAAUUACUGGGUGUAAAGGGAGCGCAGGCGGGACUGCAAGUUGGAUGUGAAAUACCGCAGCUUAACUGCGGAGCUGCAUCCAAAACUGUAGUUCUUGAGUGGAGUAGAGGCAAGCGGAAUUCCGAGUGUAGCGGUGAAAUGCGUAGAUAUUCGGAGGAACACCAGUGGCGAAGGCGGCUUGCUGGGCUCUAACUGACGCUGAGGCUCGAAAGUGUGGGGAGCAAACAGGAUUA